CCCGCUGAACUUAAGCAUAUCAAUAAGCGGAGGAAAAGAAACCAACAGGGAUUACCUUAGUAACUGCGAGUGAAGCGGUAACAGCUCAAAUUUGAAAUCUGGGUCUUUCAGGCUCCGAGUUGUAAUUUGUAGAAGAUGCUUCGGGUGUGGCUCCGGUCUAAGUUCCUUGGAACAGGACGUCAUAGAGGGUGAGAAUCCCGUAUGUGAUCGGUUGCCUAUGCUCAUGUGAAGCUCUUUCGACGAGUCGAGUUGUUUGGGAAUGCAGCUCAAAAUGGGUGGUAAAUUUCAUCUAAAGCUAAAUAUUGGCCAGAGACCGAUAGCGCACAAGUAGAGUGAUCGAAAGAUGAAAAGCACUUUGGAAAGAGAGUUAAACAGUACGUGAAAUUGUUGAAAGGGAAGCGCUUGCAACCAGACUUGCGCGUUGUCGAUCAUCCGAGGUUUUCCCCGGUGCACUCGAUUUCGCUCAGGCCAGCAUCGGUUUCAGUGGUUGGAUAAAGGCCUUGGGAAUGUGGCUUCCUUCGGGGAGUGUUAUAGCCCUCGGUGCAAUGCAGCCUACUGGGACCGGGGACCGCGCUUCGGCUAGGAUGCUGGCGUAAUGGUUGUAAGCGACCCGUCUUGAAACACGG
rnacentral:rRNA from 1 species